GUGGCAUGAAGGAGGAAGGCGAGGAGAACACGUGGCGGCGCCCUCUGCCUUGCAACCACGUGGGGUCUGCCCAUUUUGAACCUCUGGACUCAUCCAUGGUUUCAUCAAGAGUUAGAGUUAGAAACAGAUGAGGCGAUGGAUUUCGAGGGCAUUCCUGCUUCAGUUCCAAGCCCCAUGGCCUUACAGGUGCCGGAUAUUGUGAUAUUACAGGAUCCGCUAAUUGGCGAACAUUCCAAAGUCUCUCCAGUGUUACCCGUACCAGAUGGUACAGACGUGGGGGAGAAUGGAACUUUUAAUCGGAGAGACUUUGUUACAAAAGAUAGAAGCAGGAGACAAGGGGUGAGAAGAAGUCAAAGACUCGCUCUCAAAUUGGAUAAUGAUUAAAUUUCCCAUGAGAACUUUGUGGGUCCUGCACUCCCUAAUUCUUGCAGACUUGGGAUUCUGUUAAAAGUACUCCUCACUCUAUUCUCAUUGCGGUGUCAACUUUGCCUUUCCUCGGAAGAGGUUCCAGUUUCCAGUUCCUUGCCUUGUCUUCUGAAUCCGAGGUGCCGAGUUUCCAGUUUCAGGAGAGCCGCGUCGAGCCGCGACUCCCGAGUAGACCUUGCCUUGUUACCGCGACUUCCUUGUUCCUGAAUCGAGAUUGACUCAGCCUUGUUUACCUUGCUUCCUUGACUUUGCUAUGGGACUUUUCAAGUGGAUUUGCAGUGCUUUGAUUUCUGCUAUUGCUUCAUAGACAAACUUUGAUUUCUAAAGGAAGCUAUCGAGCUUCCCUUGUGGAUUAUAAAUUGGACAUUGAUAAACUUUUUCUGAAUUGCAAUAGACUAUAUAUUAUGGACUAUUUCUUACUCUGACUUUCCACCUUAAAUGCGUAUAGAUAUAUAUAUAUAUAUUCUGCUUCAAUAAACGGCUUGUGUGUUA